GAUGAACGCUGGCGGCGUGCUUAACACAUGCAAGUCGAACGGGAAUUAUUUUAUUGCACCUGCGGUCGAUAUGAUUUAAGUCUAGUGGCGGUCGGGUGAGUAACGCUUGGGUAACCUGACUUGUACAGGGGGAUACCAGUCAGAAAUGGCUGCUAAGACCGCAUGAGCGCACAGAGCUGCAUGGACGCGUGCGAAAAACUCCGGUGGGAUAAGACGGACCCGCGUUGGAUUAGCCUGUUGGCAGGGUAAAGGCCUACCAAAGUGACAAUCCAUAGCCGGGCUGUGAGGGUGAGCGGCCACAUUGGGAGUGAGACACAGCCGAGAAUCCUACGGGAGGCAGCAGUGGGGAAUAUUGCCCAAUGGGGUGAAUGCUGAUGCAGCGACGCCGCGUGAAGGAAGAAGUAUCUCGGUAUGUAAACUUCUAUCAUCAGGGAAGAGAUUGACGUUACCUGACUAAGAAGCCCCGGCUAACUACGUG
rnacentral:rRNA from 1 species